UACGUAGGUGACAAGCGUUGUCCGGAAUUAUUGGGCGUAAAGGGCUCGUAGGCGGUCUGUCGCGUCGGUAGUGAAAACUCAGGGCUUAACCCUGAGCCUGCUUCCGAUACGGGCAGACUAGAGGUAUGCAGGGGAGAAUGGAAUUCCUGGUGUAGCGGUGAAAUGCGCAGAUAUCAGGAGGAACACCGGUGGCGAAGGCGGUUCUCUGGGCAUUACCUGACGCUGAGGAGCGAAAGUGUGGGGAGCGAACAGG
rnacentral:rRNA from 1 species